GAGCAGAGCACCUCCAUCUGCUCACCUCCUGAGCUGCCACUGACCCUGCACUGCCUGUGAACUCGCUCCUGAACACACACCUGCCAAGAUGUCCUGCCAGCAGAGCCAGCAGCAGUGCCAGCCCCCUCCCAAGUGCACCCCCAAGUGCCCUCAGAAGUGCCCUGCCCCAAAAUGCCCCCCAAAGUGUCCCCCUAAGUGCCCUCCAGCCCCUUCCUGCUGCAGUGUCAGCUCUGGGGGUUGCUGUGGCUCCAGCUCUGGGGGCUGCUGUGGCUCCAGCUCUGGGGGCUGCUGUAGCUCUGGGGGUGGUGGCUGCUGCCUGAGCCACCACAGGUCCCGCAGGUCCCACCGCCACAGACAGAGCUCUGGCUGCUGCAGCCAGCCCUCAGGGGGCUCCAGCUGCUGUGGAGGGGGCAGCAGCCAGCAAUCUGGAGGCUGCUGCUGAAGUGCCCUUGACUUCCUCUCCCUUCUGAGGCUGCAGGAGUGGCUGGCGGAGAGGCUCGCGGGAAAGUUUGAGCUCUUGUCUGGAGCAUCUUUCUAGCCUGAUGUCCAGAAGCCAAAAUCUUUCUCCUAAAACAUGCUGGGGACCACAUUCCCCAUUGUCCAGUCUGUGCUGUACACCCCAAAGCACUGGCCUAGUCUUACACAGCAUCUGUCAUUAUACUGUAUUGCCCAAAUUGAAAUAAUAAAAUCUGAAAUCUGCUCUCUAA